rnacentral:rRNA from 1 species
UACGUAGGGCGCAAGCGUUGUCCGGAAUUAUUGGGCGUAAAGAGCUCGUAGGCGGUCUGUUACGUCUGCUGUGAAACCCAGGGACUCAACCCUGGGCCUGCAUUCGAUACGGGCAGACUAGAGUGUGGUAGGGGAGACUGGAAUUCCUGGUGUAGCGGUGAAAUGCGCAGAUAUCAGGAGGAACACCGGUGGCGAAGGCGGGUCUCUGGGCCGAUACUGACGCUGAGGAGCGAACGCGUGGGGAGCGAACAGG